GCUUGCCUGCGACCCUGUAGAAGGAUAAAGCGGCUAGAGAUAAUGAGAUGAGAUGAGGAUAUUUUCACCUGUUAGUAAGCUUCUUUUCUCACUUGCGUGAACCGGGCCAAGCGGACACUGUCAGCGGACAUCACCAUGCAUUGAACCCUCGCCCUGCAUUGGCCCACACACCGCGCUUCCAGCGGAGGAGAGACGAGGGCGACGGGAUGAUUGCUGUACCAUGGUUUACUGAAUCUGGUCCCAGGAAGAGAUGCUUUGGAAGUGCUUGUUAAGAAUUCAACAGAAUAGUGGGGAAAAAUCUGAGAGAACGAUUUUGAUGCACUUGAAUGUUUCUCUCCAAGCCUGAUGGACCUCUUCAGGAAGAAGAGGCCUCACCGGCCAGCUUUUGGCUGAGCUUAUACCUACAAAGACCACUGAGCCAACAGACAUCAGGUGCCUUAGUCUUCAGGGACUGCUGGUCAUCUUGGAGAUGAUCCUUCUGCCUUCUUCAAGACCUGCUCUGAUGAAACCAACAAGGACUUGUACAGUGAAACUCCCAGCUGGAAUCCUUUGCAUUGAUAAAGAAAAUCCUCAGCUCAACCCGUCCAGAGUUGGGAUUGUCUUGGAAGGUAGUGUGGUGAUGGAUGAACUGACCAACCUGACUCAGGCCUUCUGUCUCCUUUUUGGACUGAUUUAUGCCUUGCACCUGGAGCAAGUGUAUGAAAAACACUUUCAGCUUUGUUCAGCAGGUAAUGCUCGACCUCGGUACAAGUGGGCUGUGUUAUAUCUGUUCUAUUCUAGGUGAUGAACAGAUGAGGCGUGUUGAAUAAACUUGUGUUUUAUUUCACGUUGCCGCAGUGGCAUGUCCAGGCAUACAUACAAAAACCUUUCCUGCUUCUAUUCAUGUAGUGUGCAUGCCUAGCUCACAAGGCAUUAUGGGAACUGGAGUUCUAAUGUUAUUAACACAUAACAUCACAUCUUUCCCCCUAGAAAGAAAACAUUAUUCCCAUGCUGCGCAAUAAACUUUUAUCCAUAACUGUUAAACAUUGUCUAUUUUUCCCAGCUCUAUGUUUCUUUCUUAACAACCCAAUAAACAUUGGACCUCUAAACAACAUCACACAAUCUCUUCAGUGGAUCAGAACAAUAAUACAUGUACCUAUGCUAUAAGAUAUCACAUUU